rnacentral:rRNA from 1 species
UAGGGAAUCUUCGGCAAUGGACGAAAGUCCGACCGAGCAACGCCGCGUGAGUGAAGAAGGUUUUCGGAUCGUAAAACUCUGUUGGUAGAGAAGAACGUUGGUGAGAGUGGAAAGCUCAUCAAGUGACGGUAACUACCCAGAAAGGGACGGCUAACUACGUGCCCG